CCUGCUGGCAUCUACCGCCAUCCUUCCCUAAACUAGUAGCUAAGCAUGGUCGGGCCAAGUCAGUACUUGGAUGGGAGACCGACUGGGGCUACUGGAGUUAGUAGGC
ensembl:rRNA 5S_rRNA 5S ribosomal RNA